rnacentral:lncRNA from 1 species
GAUAGUUAUGUUGAUAUAUAAUAAUUAAGAAAGUGGAUUAGAAUAUAUAUAUAUAUAUAUAUAUAUAUAUAUAUAGUCAGGUUGCGUAGUAUCGGUAAAACAGAGUCCUCGUAUAAUAUAUUCUAUUAGAAAUAUUUAGAAAUUUAAUUUUAUAUUUUUUCAACAUCAUAUGACUAGUGAUCGAAAUGUCUAAAAAUUGAUAAUUUCAAUGACAGAUGAUGUGAUGCAUUUAUAAGUUUAACAAUAUUGAACAACUUAAAUCCAAUGAAAUUUUGAUCGAAUUUUCUUUUCACUAUUAAGUGUGAAAUUAAU